ensembl:misc_RNA Metazoa_SRP Metazoan signal recognition particle RNA
GCCGGGUAUGGUGGCUCAUGCCUGUAAUCCCAGCACUUUGGGAGGCUGAGGCAGGUGGAUCACUUGAGGUCAGGAGUUUGAGACCGGCCUGACCAACAUGGUGAAACCCUGUCUCUA